GGUGUAGACCCGAAACCGAGUGAUCUAUCCAUGGCCAGGUUGAAGCUGCCGUAAGAGGUACUGGAGGACCGAACCCACGCAUGUUGCAAAAUGCGGGGAUGAGCUGUGGAUAGGGGUGAAAGGCUAAACAAACUCGGAGAUAGCUGGUUCUCCCCGAAAACUAUUUAGGUAGUGCCUCGAGUAAGACACUGAUGGGGGUAAAGCACUGUUAUGGCUAGGGGGUUAUUGCAACUUACCAACCCAUGGCAAACUAAGAAUACCAUCAAGUGGUUCCUCGGGAGACAGACAGCGGGUGCUAACGUCCGUUGUCAAGAGGGAAACAACCCAGACCGCCAGCUAAGGUCCCAAAUGAUAGAUUAAGUGGUAAACGAAGUGGGAAGGCCCAGACAGCCAGGAUGUUGGCUUAGAAGCAGCCAUCAUUUAAAGAAAGCGUAAUAGCUCACUGGUCGAGUCGUCCUGCGCGGAAGAUGUAACGGGGCUCAAAUCUAUAACCGAAGCUGCGGAUGCCAGUUUACUGGCAUGGUAGGGGAGCGUUCUGUAGGCCGAUGAAGGUGCAUUGUAAAGUGUGCUGGAGGUAUCAGAAGUGCGAAUGCUGACAUGAGUAGCGAUAAAGCGGGUGAAAAGCCCGCUCGCCGAAAGCCCAAGGUUUCCUACGCAACGUUCAUCGGCGUAGGGUGAGUCGGCCCCUAAGGCGAGGCAGAAAUGCGUAGUCGAUGGGAAACAGGUUAAUAUUCCUGUACUUGAUUCAAAUGCGAUGUGGGGACGGAGAAGGUUAGGUUAGCAAGCUGUUGGAAUAGCUUGUUUAAGCCGGUAGGUGGAAGACUUAGGCAAAUCCGGGUCUUCUUAACACCGAGAAGUGACGACGAGUGUCUACGGACAUGAAGUAACCGAUACCACGCUUCCAGGAAAAGCCACUAAGCUUCAGUUUGAAUCGAACCGUACCGCAAACCGACACAGGUGGGCAGGAUGAGAAUUCUAAGGCGCUUGAGAGAACUCGGGAGAAGGAACUCGGCAAAUUGAUACCGUAACUUCGGGAGAAGGUAUGCCCUCUAAGGUUAAGGACUUGCUCCGUAAGCCUUGGAGGGUCGCAGAGAAUAGGUGGCUGCGACUGUUUAUUAAAAACACAGCACUCUGCUAACACGAAAGUGGACGUAUAGGGUGUGACGCCUGCCCGGUGCUGGAAGGUUAAUUGAAGAUGUGCAAGCAUCGGAUCGAAGCCCCAGUAAACGGCGGCCGUAACUAUAACGGUCCUAAGGUAGCGAAAUUCCUUGUCGGGUAAGUUCCGA
rnacentral:rRNA from 1 species